CCGGUCCUUGGCCUCCACCCCACACUGGCCACUGGGAAAUCAGGGACAAGACCUCUUCCCUGGCACCUUCAUCCUGCAUGUUUCUUCCCGCUUGCUUUCCGCCCGGGAUUACCGCCGGGGCUGGGCUUCUGCACGUGGCUGUUGCUUGGGCCCCCACGUGGGCUGCUUGAAAAACAUCUCUCUGAAAGCAGAGAAAGUGUGAGCCGUCAAGAAGGAGCGUGUGGAAGGAGAGAGGUCCUCGGAGGAGGGGAAAUUUACAGCAUUCAUUUGGCCCAUUCUAAGGACACCGUGAGGCCUGCAUGAAAUGCCUUCCGGAGAUGCCCGUGGAUUUAUUCAUUCAGCAGCUAUCCCCGGAGCUCCACUUGGAGCCAGGCACCAGGCAGGGGGCUCAGGUCCCGGAAGUGCCCACAACAGGCAGCUCCCUGCUCCCCUCAUUCCAGUCCUUCCAGAGCCUCCCUGAGACCUGCCUCUCCUGAGCUUACUCCUCCAGCCUCCUGUUGGUUCAGAGAGCCCCUGUGCUCCUUCUAGUACAUUCCCCUCUGCUUAUGUCAGCCAGGGCUGACUUGGCUGCUGACGAUGAGGGAGGCCUGGCUAAUUCCAGGCCAUGGUGGGCUUGAACCUUACGCUUCUCUGUCUCCCAUGCCUGGGCUCUUCCUGCCAUCAUCCUCCCUCCUGGUACCCACAGUCAUCUCUAUGCCUGAGCCCUGUAGACCUCAAGGCUGACCUUGGUGGGACCAACCAAGUCACAGGAUUUGUCUGAGAAGAACCGGGGUAUGAAGAGUUUUGUGGGUUUGAGAUGCCAUAAAACUGUCCAACAACAAUGACUUCCAAACUACCUCCCUCUGAGCUGUGGUGUCUGCAGAGAUCCCUCAUGGGCUGUCAGGAUUUGAGAGUGCGUUGGGGCAGUUGAGUACAAGGGCUCACUCCCUUCCCUACCCCCACACCUAUUUUAACCAGAGUGGCUUUACCUAGCACAGUAUUCAAGAGGCAUGCCCUCUGGGACCACGCUGCCUGGGUUUGGAUCCCAUCUCCACCACGCAUGAGCUAUAUGACCUUGGAUAAGUCACUUAUCACUCUGUACCUCAGUUUCCUCAUCGGUAACACGAGAAUGGAGAGACCUCAGAAUGGUGCAGUGACGAUUCUAGGAACGUAUGCUACCUAAGGCUUCAAAAGUGCUGGCCUGUGAUGAGUCUUCAACACACGAGAACUACUGUUACUCUUGCUUUUCCUAGUGGGUUUCAGCGGAAUAUUCCAUAAGAAAAAAGAAGGGUCUUUUUUGUUGUUUAAGAAAUGUCUGGGAAUCUGCCCCCCG
rnacentral:lncRNA from 10 species